GAGUGUAGUUCAAUGGUAGAAUUCCAGCCUUCCAAGCUGGCUGCGUGGGUUCGAUUCCCAUCACUC
rnacentral:tRNA from 1 species